UACGUAGGGUGCGAGCGUUGUCCGGAAUUAUUGGGCGUAAAGAGCUCGUAGGCGGUGUGUCACGUCGGCCGUGAAAACCUGCAGCUUAACUGUGGGCGUGCGGUCGAUACGGGCAUCACUGGAGUUCGGCAGGGGAGACUGGAAUUCCUGGUGUAGCGGUGAAAUGCGCAGAUAUCAGGAGGAACACCGGUGGCGAAGGCGGGUCUCUGGGCCGAUACUGACGCUCAUGCACGAAAGCGUGGGGAGCAAACAGG
rnacentral:rRNA from 1 species